rnacentral:lncRNA from 1 species
CAGCACAAUUUGGAACAUUAUUUGAAAGAUUAAACAGGUAAGCAAAGAUGCUGAAGAAAAUGAAGAUGUAGGAUUCUCUACUCUCAGUUAUUAAUCUAAUCUUUUUAAAAAAAUUUUUAUUAUUGGUUGUUCAAAGCAUUACAUAGUUCUUGACAUACCAUAUUUCAUACAUUUGAUUCAAGUGGGUUAUGAGCUCCCAUUUUUAACCCGUAUACAGAUUGAAGAAUCACAUCAGUUACACAUACAUUGAUUUACAUAUUGCCAUACUAGUGUCUGUUGUAUUCUGCUACCUUUCCUAUCCUCUACUAUCCCCCCUCCCCUCCCCUCCCAUCUUUUCUCUGUACCCCAGAUACUGUAAUUCAUCUCUCUCCCUUGUUUUUUUCCCUUUCCCCUCACUUCCUCUUAUAUGUAAUUUUGUAUAACUAUGAGGGUCUCCUUACAUUUUUAUGCAAUUUCCCUUCUCUCUCCCUUUCCCUCCCACCUCUCAUCCCUGUUUAAUGUUAAUCUUCUUCUCAUGCUCUUCCUCCCUGCUCUGUUCUUAGUUGUUCUCCUUAUAUCAAAGAAGAUAUUUGGCAUUUGUUUUUUAGGGAUUGGCUAGCUUCACUUAGCAUAAUCUGCUCUAAUGCCAUCCAUUUUCCUGCAAAUUCCAUGACUUUGUCAUUUUUUAGUGCAGAGUAAUACUCCAUUGUGUAUAAAUGCCACAUUUUUUUAAUCCAUUCAUCUAUUGAAGGGCAUCUAGGUUGGUUCCACAGUCUAGCUAUUGUGAACUGUACUUCUAUGAACAUUGAUGUAGCAGUAUCCCUGUAGUAUGCUCUUUUUAGGUCUUUAGGGAAUAGACCGAGAAGGGGAAUAGCUGGGUCAAAUGGUGGUUCCAUUCCCAGCUUUCCAAGGAAUCUCCAUACUNUAUCUCCCUGUAUAGUUGUUCUUUUACUUCUUGGAUUUGUUUAUGUAAUUCAUUGUCAAAGUGAUCUUUCCUUAUCUGAUUUUGCUGUCUAAUGUCUUCCUUGAGACUCCAGAUCAUCUGAAGCAUGUAUAUCCAAAAUUAUUUAUCUGACAUUUCAUCUGCUGCAGAUAUUACCUCUUCUAAAGUUGAGUUGACCUNNNNNNNNNNNNNNNNNNNNNNNNNNNNNNNNNNNNNNNNNNNNNNNNNNNNNNNNNNNNNNNNNNNNNNNNNNNNNNNNNNNNNNNNNNNNNNNNNNNNNNNNNNNNNNNNNNNNNNNNNNNNNNNNNNNNNNNNNNNNNNNNNNNNNNNNNNNNNNNNNNNNNNNNNNNNNNNNNNNNNNNNNNNNNNNNNNNNNNNNNNNNNNNNNNNNNNNNNNNNNNNNNNNNNNNNNNNNNNNNNNNNNNNNNNNNNNNNNNNNNNNNNNNNNNNNNNNNNNNNNNNNNNNNNNNNNNNNNNNNNNNNNNNNNNNNNNNNNNNNNNNNNNNNNNNNNNNNNNNNNNNNNNNNNNNNNNNNNNNNNNNNNNNNNNNNNNNNNNNNNNNNNNNNNNNNNNNNNNNNNNNNNNNNNNNNNNNNNNNNNNNNNNNNNNNNNNNNNNNNNNNNNNNNNNNNNNNNNNNNNNNNNNNNNNNNNNNNNNNNNNNNNNNNNNNNNNNNNNNNNNNNNNNNNNNNNNNNNNNNNNNNNNNNNNNNNNNNNNNNNNNNNNNNNNNNNNNNNNNNNNNNNNNNNNNNNNNNNNNNNNNNNNNNNNNNNNNNNNNNNNNNNNNNNNNNNNNNNNNNNNNNNNNNNNNNNNNNNNNNNNNNNNNNNNNNNNNNNNNNNNNNNNNNNNNNNNNNNNNNNNNNNNNNNNNNNNNNNNNNNNNNNNNNNNNNNNNNNNNNNNNNNNNNNNNNNNNNNNNNNNNNNNNNNNNNNNNNNNNNNNNNNNNNNNNNNNNNNNNNNNACUGACAUUCAUUUGUCCCCCUUGUAUAAUUUUUCCCUUUCCCCUCUCUUCCUCUUGUAUGUACUUUUGUAUAACUCUGAGGGUCUCCUUCCAUUUCCAUGCAAUUUCCCUUCUCUCUCCCUUUCCCUCCCACCUCUCAUCCCUGUUUAAUGUUAAUCUUCUUCUCAUGCUCUUCGACCCUACUCUGUUCUUAGUUACUCUCCUUAUAUCAAAGAAGACAUUUGGCAUUUGUUUUUUAGGGAUUGGCUAGCUUCACUUAGCAUAAUCUGCUCUAAUGCCAUCCAUUUUCCUGCAAAUUCCAUGACUUUGUCAUUUUUUAGUGCAGAGUAAUACUCCAUUGUGUAUAAAUGCCACAUUUUUUUUUAUCCAUUCAUCUAUUGAAGGGCAUCUAGGUUGGUUCCACAGUCUUGCUAUUGUGAAUUGUGCUGCUAUGAACAUCGAUGUAGCAGUGUCCCUGUAGCAUGCUCUUUUUAGGUCUUUAGGGAAUAGACCAAGAAGGGGAAUAGCUGGGUCAAAUGGUGGCUCCAUUCCCAGCUUUCCAAGAAAUCUCCAUACUGCUUUCCAAAUUGGCUGCACCAAUUUGCAGUCCCACCAGCAAUGUACAAGUGUACCCUUUUCCCCACAUCCUUGCCAGCACUUGUUGUUCUUUGACUUCAUAAUGGCUGCCAAUCUAACUGGAGUGAGAUGGUAUCUUAGGGUGGUUUUGAUUUGCAUUUCUCUGACUGCUAGAGAUGGUGAGCAUUUUUUCAUGUACUUGUUGAUUGAUUGUAUGUCCUCCUCUGUGAAGUGUCUGUUCAGGUCCUUGGCCCAUUUGUUGAUUGGGUUGUUUGUUCUCUUAUUGUCUAAUUUUUAAUCUUAACGAACAAAAAUAGUCAUUAGUAAUAUAAACAUACCUAAGUAAUAUUUCUAAAAAAAAUGUUAAGUAAGUUUUUUCUUUUAUAUUUUUACUAACAGGUAUUAAUUUUAUCUAUUAAUGGAAUUUAGUGUGAUAUUUUCUUUUUAAUUAUUUUUUUAGUUGUAGUUGGACACAAUACCUUUAUUCUAUUUAUUUAUUUGUAUGUGAUGCUGAGGAUGGAACCCAGUGCCUUGCAUGUGCUAGGCAAAUGAUCUACCACUGAGCCAUAACUCCAGCCCCUCAGUGUGAUGUUUUUAUACACUCAGUAUAUGUACUGAUCAAACCCAACUUCCCUUUUUCUACCCUCUCUACCCUAAACCCUUCAUGAUAUCUAGUAAUCUCAUAAUUGUACUCUCAAGUCAAAUUUUAUUAAUGUGCUCAUGUAAGAUAAAACAUACAGUACUUUUCUUUAUGGCUUAAUUCAUUCAACACAGUGUUCUCCAAUUCCUUCAAUUUUGUUGUGAAGAUGGACUUUCUUCUAGUUUAUAGCUGGGUAACUACUCCUUUUAUUUACACACACACACACACAAACAUACACACAAACAUGUUUGAGAGAGUGUUUAUAUGUGUGUGUCACAUUUUUCCUUAUGUAUUCUUUUGUUGAAAAUCAUUUAGGCUGAUUCUGUAUCUUGGCUAUUGUGAAUAGUGCUGCAGUAAACAUGGACAUUCAGGUAUUUCUGAUAUACUGAUUUUAUUUUCUUUGUAUAUUUAUCCAGAAAUGGGAUGGGUAGAUCAAAUAAUCGAUCUGUUUUUAAGAUUUUGGAGGAACUUUCUGUUGUCCAUAAUGACUGCACAGAUUUACUUAUACAUCACCAAUAUAUAAAUGUUUCUUUUUUUCUACCUUCUUGUCAGCAUUUAUUUUUUGAUAAUAGCCAUUCUGACUAGGGUGCAAUAUCUCAUUGUAGUUUUGAUUUUUAUUACCCUGUUAGCUAAUGAUAUUUAGCAGUUUAUCAUAUCAUUAUUUAUGAUUUAUAUUUCUUCUUUAGUGAAGUGUCUAUUCAUAUCAUUUGCUAAGUUUCUAAUUGGCUUUUUUGUUAUAUUUUUUUAUUUGCAUUUAUAUGGUUGGUGUUAACCCUCUGUCAGAUGAAUACUUUGGCAAGAAUUUUCUCCCACUUUGUAGAUUUUCUUAUGACUGUUGGUUGUUUUCUUUACUUUGCAAAAGCUUCUUAAUGUAAUCCCAUUUUUAAAUAUUUGCUUUUGUUUCCUGUGCUUUUGGGAUCCUAUCCAGAAAAAUUAUUGCCUUCACCAAUGUCUUAAAGAGUUUUCCAUUUUAUUCUAGUAGUUUUCAGAGUUUCAAGUCUCACAUUUAGGUGUUUUUAUAUUGAUCUUGAGUUGAUUUUUGUAUAGGAUCAAGUUUCAGUCUUCUAAAUGUGGAUAUCCAGUUUUACCAACACCAUUUACUGAAAGGACUAUCCUUUGUUUUGGUGUCUUUGUUGAGAAUCUAUUGACUGUAGAUACAGAGUUUAUUUUGGGAAUCUCUGUACUGUUCCAUUGGUUGAUGUGUCUGUUUUUAUGCAAAUUCCAUUAUUCAUGUUGUUUAUUGUGUCUCUGUAAUAUGUCUUGAAAUCAGGUAUUUUGAUACCUGCAGCAUUGUUCUUUGUGCCCAAGAUUGUUUUGGCUAUAUUUUCUACAUAUGAACUUCAGAAUUGUUUUUUUUCAUAGCUCUGCAGAAAAUGACGUUGGUAUUUUCUGUAGAUCACUUUGGAUUGUAUGGACAUUUUUAACAAUAUUAAUAUUUUCAAUCCAAGAACAUUGGGGUUCUUUCAGAUUUUUGUGUGUUAUCUACAGUUUCUUUCAUCAGUAUUUUAUUUAUUUAUUUAUUUUAUUUAUAUAGAAUAGCAGAAUGCAUUACAAUUCUUAUUACAUAUAUAGAGCCCAAUUUUUCAUAUCUCUGGUUGUAUACAUAGUAUAUUCACACCAAUUCAUGUCUUUAUACAUGUACUUUGGAUAAAAAUGAUCAUCAUAUUCAACCAUCAUUAAUUACCUCAUGCCCCCUCCCUUCCCCUCCCACCCUUCUGCCCUAUAUAGAGUUCAUCUAUUCCUCCCAUGCUCCCUCUCCCUAUCCCACUAUGAAUCAGUCUCCUUAUAUCAGAGAAAGCAUUUGGCAUUUGGUUUUUUUUUUUUGGGGGGGGGAUUGGCUAACUUCACUUAGCAUUAUCUUCUCUAACUCCAUCCAUUUACUUGCACAUGCCAUGAUUUUAUUCUCUUUUAUUGCUGAGUAAUAUUUCAUUGUGUAUAUAUGCCAUAUUUUUUUAUCCAUUCAUCUAUUGAAGGGCAUCUAGAUUAGCUCCACAGUUUAGCUAAUGUAAAUUGUGCUUCUAUAAACAUUGAUGUGGCUGUAUCCCUGUAGUAUGCUGUUUUUAAGUCCUUUGGGUAUAGACUGAGGAGAGGGAUAGCUGGAUCAAAUGGUGGUUCCAUUCCCAGUUUUCCAAGAAAUCUCCAUACUGCUUUCUAUAUUAGCUGCAUCAAUUUGAAGUCCCACCAGUAGUAUAUGAAUGUACCUUUUUCUCCACAUCCUCAAAUUGGCACUAUUUGCUAAUUAUAUAAUUCUAUAUAAUAUAAUAUAAUAUAAUUCUAUAUAUUAGGGUCUACUUUUUCUUCUAUUAGAUGCAGGGUCUCUAGUUUUAUUACUAAGUCCUUAAUUCAUUUUGAGUUGAGUUCUGUGCAUGAUGAGAGAUAGGGUUUUAAUUUCAUCUUGUUGCAUAUGAAUUUCCAGUUUUCCCAAAACCAUUUGUUGAAGAGGCUAUCUUUUUCCAAUGCAUGUUCUUGGCACCUUUGUCUAAUAUAAGAUAAUUGUAAUUUUGUGGGUUAGUCUCUGUGUCCUCUUUUCUGUACCAUUGGUCUACCAGUCUGUUUUGGUGCCAAUACCAUGCUGUUUUGUUACUAUUGCUCUGUUGUAUAGUUUAAGGUCUAGUAUAGUGAUGCCACCUGCUUCACUGUUCCUGAUAAGGAUUGCUUUAGCUAUUCUGGGUCUCUUGUUUUUCCAGAUGAGUUUCAUGAUUGCUUUUACUAUUUCUAUGAGGAAUGUCAAUGGAAUUUUGAUCACAAUUACAUUAAAUCUGCAUAGUACUUUUGGAAGUAUGGUCAUUUUGAUAAUAUUAAUUCUGCCUAUCCAGGAGUAAGGUAAAUCUUUCCAUUUUCUAAGGUCUUCUUUGGUUUCUUUUUUAGGGUUCUAUAAUUUUCAUUAUAUAUAUAUAUAUAUAUAUAUAUAUAUAUAUAUAUAUCUUUCACCUGUUUCAUUGAUUCCCAAGUAUUUUAUUUUAUUUUAUAUUUUGAGGCUAUUGAGAAUGGAAUAGUUUUCCUCAUUUCCCUUUCUGAGGAUUUGUCACUGAUAUACAGAAAUGCCUUUGAUUUAUGGGUGUUGAUUUUAUACCCUGCUACUUUGCUUAAUUCAUUUCCUAUUUUUCUGGUGGAACUUUUAGGAAAUGGUAAAAUUCAUCAGUGAAGCCAUUCAAUCUUGGGCUUUUCUUUUGGGGAACAUUUUUUUUUUAUUACUGAUUCAGUCUCAUUACUUCUUAUUGAUCUAUUUAGAUAUUUUUUAUGUUCUCAUGCUUCAGUUUUGGUAGGUCCUAUGUUUACAGAAAGUUGCCCAUUUCUUCUAGGUUUUCCAAUUUCUUAGCAUAUAGUCUUUCAUAGUAAUCCCUAAUGAUCCUUUGAAUUUCUUUUGUAUUGAUUGUACUAUCUCCUCUAUCUCUGAUUUUGUUCAUUUGGGUCUUCUUUUUGUUUUUUAUUUGUUAGUCUAUAGGUUUACUAAUGUUUCAUUGAUUUUUGUACUUUUUAAAGUGUAUUUAUUUCUGCUUUAUAUUGUUUCUUUUGUGUUUGGUUUGUUCUUUUCUAAAUCCUUGGGAUACAUGGAUAGGUUGUUUAUUUGAAAUUUUUCUUUUUCCUUUUUUUUUUUUGAACUCAUUGCUAUAAACGUUCUUCUUAUCACUGCUUUUCCUGUAUUCUUUAAAUUUUGGUAAGUUGUAUUUUCAUUUGUUUUGAGAAAGUUUUAAAUUUCUCUUUUGUCUUCUUUGUUAACAAGUUGUUAAUUCAAAAAUUCAAGUUGUUAAUUCAAAAAAUUGUUAAUUCAGUCUCCAUGUAUUUAUAUAAUUUAUAAAUUAUAAGAGUCUUUUGUUGGCUUCUAGUUUUAUUCUAUUAUGAUCAGAAAAGAUAUGGGAUAUGAUUUAAUUUUUUAAAAAAUAUUUUUAUUUAUAGAUGGUCACAAUACCUUUAUUGUAUUUAAUUUUUAAUAUGGUGCUGAGAAUCGAACCCAGUGCCUCAUACAUGCUAGGCAAGCACUCUACCACUGAGCCACGACCCCAGCCCUGAUUUCAUCUUUUAAAAUAUGUUAAUACUUGUUUUGUGGUCUUUCAGUAUAUUGUUUUUUAUUAAAUAAAGUUAUAUGUUCUGGUGAAAGAAUGUGUAUUCUGAAGCUGUUGACUGGAAUGUUCUAUAAUGUUAAGUCCAUUUGAUCUAUAGUAUGGUUUGUUUCUGAUGUUUCUUUGUUAAUUUGUUUGUCUGCAAACAAAUCUGUUCUGUCCAUUGAUGAAAGUGGGUUCUUGAAUCCCUCAGUAUUAUUGUAAUGCAGUUUAUCUCUCCACUUAGAUCUAAUAAUGAUUAUAACAUUAGGUGCUCUGACAUAGAUGCAUCUAAAUUUAGAAUUACUGUCUCUUCUUCUUGAAUUGAUCACUUAAUCAUUAUAUGGUGACUAUCUUUGCCUCUUUUUACAGUUUUGUUAGAUUUAAGUAUACAUACUCCUGUUUGUUUUAAGGUUUAAUUUGUUUGGAAUGUAAUUUUUUAUCCUUUCUAUUUUAAUCUGUGUGAUUCUUUACUGGUGACAUGAGUUUCUGUAGGCAUUGUAUUGUUGGGUUUAUUUCUUUAUUAAUCUAUUCAACCAGUCUGUCCAGUUUUUAAUUGGAAACUUUAGUCUAUUUACAUUUAAGGUUAUCAUUGAAAAGUAAGGACUUAUUCCUGCCAUUUUGUCUAGUAAUCCCUUAAGCAUCUUUUGGUAGGCUGUUCUUGUGGUCAUAGCUUUUCUCAGUUUUAGCUAGUCUUGCAAGGAAUGUACUUUUUCUUUAUUUCUGAAGAAUAGCUUUGCUAUGUGUACAGUUGCUUAGGACUUCCAAUAUGUCAUUCCAUUUCUUGUUGUCCUAUAGGAUUUUUGUUGAGAAAUCUGUAAUCUAAUUGAGAUAUAUUGAAGUGUGCCUUGGCACUUUUGCAGAUUUUAGUGUUUGUGCUUUUGAUAAUUUGGCUAUAAUAUGCUGUGGUGAAGAUGUUUUCUGGUCAUGUUUAUUUUGGGGUCCUAUAAUCUUCCUGUUCAUGAAUGUCCAUAAACUUUUUUCCUCCUUACCGCAAGUAUUCCAGAAAUGUGUGUAUGUUUCAUGGGGAGUCUCAAAGUAACCCCCCCCCCCGCCUUUCUUUCUUCCACAAAAGGUACAAAAUAGCAUUACUAAAAAAAAAAAAAAAAGAGUCAGAAACCUGAAACAAUAGUGUAGAGAAAGAAACAAAAUACUCCUGGUGAUCUGUCUGCCACUCCACAGACAGGAUAGGAGUAGUCUCUCCUUUUCAGGGAAAAGGGUGAAAAGGUAGUGAGAUACUGACAAUCCUAGAUAUUGACAAGUUGCAUAAUCAUCAUCUUUAUCCCUCAUUUUCUUUUUACAUUUGUGGUAGGUAGUUUAACACAUCCUACUUUUAUAUUUUAGAUGUUUGUGUAUAAACUCUGGUUUUUUAUUUAAAAUCCAUUAAGCUUGUAAAAUCCAUUAGAACCACACUUGGUGAUAUAAUGAGAAACUCUAAUUCUAUCCUAGUCUUCCUUAUCUUACUAAAUGGCACCAGUAUUUAUUCAUUUGCUAAAGCCAAAAUAAAAGCCGUCCUUGACUCCUUCCUUUCUGUCAACUCCAGUUAUCCUCUUCAUUAUCAGAGUAUUAUCAGUUUUGGAUUCUAAUAAGCUUUUUAAUUGUCUAUUCACAUUUCCAUCUCUGGGUUCCAUCCUAGUCUAAAGUACCCUGACCUCUUGGUAGAGACAUUAUUUAAGGCCUUAUAAUAGUUCUUUUUGUUCCUUGUUUAUUGAACAUCUUUUAAAACAUACUGUCUUAUAAAUAUAUAAUUGACUCACAAGAAGCUGAACUUAUUUAAAUUUUUCACUUUAAUGUUUUGAUAUAUGUCAAAAAGAAUGAACACAUUUAUCAUACUGAGUAGUUUUUUUUGGGUAGCUUUGGAAUCCCUUUUCUAGUUGCUUACCAUCGCUCACUUAUCUCCUAAGGCAACCACUGAUCUGCUUUCUGUCUCUACAGAGUAGUCCGUAUUUUUGCAAUUUUUAUAGCCUCUUACAGUAUAUAUGUGUAUUUUUUUGUUACUUGGCUUCUUUUACUUAGCAUAAUUAUUUUGAAACCCAUUCAUGUUAUUUGUUGUGUGUAAUAAUCAUUCAUUCCUUUUAAUUGCACAGUAGUAGUCCAGUGUAUGUAUUGUAUUCAUUUUCCUAUUGAUAAACAUUUGGUGUUUACCUUUAUUUUUGUCUAUUCCAGAUAAAGCUGAUAUGAAAGUUUAUGUAAAAAGCUUUGCUUUGACAUAUGCUUUACUUAUCUUGGGUACAAGGUGGGUUAGAUCUUGUAGUUAGCUAUAUGUUUAACUCUUAAAGAAAUUGCCAAACUGUUUUCCAAAAUGAGUCAUAUCAUUUUAUUUUCCCAUCAGCAAUGUAUGAGAGUUCUUGUUGUUAACACAUUCUUGCUAAAACUUGGUGAAGUCCAUCUUUUUAAAUGUUACCCGUUUUUGUUGAUUUUUAAUUUGCUUUUCUCUAAUGACUAAUGAUUUUGCAUAUUUUCAUGUUCCUGUAAGCCAUUUGAGUAUCUCUGCUGAGAUGUUUAAGGUUUCAAUUUUGAUGCAAUUUUUAAAAUUAAUUGUGCGUACAGUAUCAAAGCCAAUAAAUCUUUACCCAAUUCAGGAUCAUUGAAAUUUUCUUGUUUUUUGUAGAUCUUACAUUUAGGUCUGUGACCUAUGUUUUAGUUCAUGUUUAUUUGUAGUGUUUUAAGUCAGCUUUUUCUGUGCUGUGAUUAAAGGAUCUGACCAGAACAAUUUUAAAGGAGGAAAAGUUUAUUUGAGGGUUCAGGGUUUCAGUGGUCUCAGUCCAUAGAAGGUCAGCUCCACUCCUAGGGCUCUAGGUGAGGCAGAACAUCAUGGUGAAAGAGUGUGGCAGAGGGAAGCAGCACACAUGGUGAUCAGAAAGCACAGAGAGAGUUCCCUACUUGCCAGAUACAAAUAUAUACCCCAAAGUCAUGCUCCCCAAUUCCACCUCCUCCAGCCACACCCUGCCACUUCAGUUAUCACUCAGUUAAUACCUAUCAGGGAAUUAAUUUACUGAUUUGGUUAAGAGUCUUGCAACCCUCUCUCACAACUCUUACAAUUCUCACAAUCAUUUUUCCUCUGAAACUUCUUGCAUUGUCUUCACACAUGAGCUUUUGGGGGACACCUUAUAUCCAAACCAUAACAUGUAGUGUAAGGGAAGGGCCUAAAUAUCUCAUUUACAUUUAUGGAAAAGAAUUUUUUUUGGUCAGAAAUCAAUUAACCAUAAAUAUGUUUUUCCCCUUGUAAUUUCAAUUCUGUUUUGUCCAUCUCUGUGUAGGUUAGUUCCACACUGCCUUGAUUCUGUAACUUUAUUAUAAAUUUUGAAAUUGAGAUUGUUAUUUUUCAACAAGAUUGUGGCUCUUUUUAAUCUUUUAAAAUUUUUGAAUAAGUUUUUAGGUUUACAAAAAAGCCCACAAGAAGCUCAGUGGAAUUUUGAUAGAGAUUGUGUUGAAUUGAUCAAUUUGGGGAACAUUGACAUCUUAAUGAUUAAGACUUUUCUAAUCCAUGAACCUGAAAUAUGUCUUCUAUUUUCUUUAAUCCUGUUAAUGUUGUUUUCAGUAUAUAAGCCUUAUGUGUCUUUUAUUAAUUUUAUUUCUAAGUAUUGUAUUCUUUUUGUGCUAUUGUGAAUGAAAUUAUUUUUGUAAUUUUAUAUUGGUUUGUUCAUUGCUAAUGUUGAGGCUCAGAAAACAAUACCGCAAAGACUAGUACUUUGACAUGCUGAGGGGCUUUAGAACCCAACGCAGAAUCCAGAACCUAACUCUGACCUUUCCUUGUGUGUCCCCUUCCCAGCUCAGCGGGAAUUCCUGUGUUGUCUAAAGUCUGGGCCUACCUUGGCUCUUUUCUGGUGAGCUUUAAUUAAAUAAACUCAUUACAGGAAGAAGGACUGAAGUCUGUCAGUCUACCUAAACAAACUUUAGUCACAUUUCAUUGUCCUUCAUUUUAGUCCUAAAUAUAUUUACAAACUACUAUCCUGAUAUGUGGUCUAGACAGUGUGCCAGUAUGUUCUCUAAACCCAUUGAGUUCCCCUAAAAAUCAUUUUCUAUUUCCUCUCAAAACUGUCUAAAUUCCCCAUUUUCCCCUGCUCCUACAGAAAUAGGGUAUGUAAACCUCUGAAUAAUGUUGUGCUAGUAGGUAACCACCCUUAUGUGAUUUUCCCUUAUAUGGUGAUUUUUCCCCCCUUCUCAUCUUAAUAAAUUCUUUUCAAUAGUCAGCUUAUUCCAGCAAACCCUCAGUGGGUAGAGGGGAAAUUUCCCUUUGCCCCUAUACUAGUAUAUAAAAAUACAAUUACUUAUCAUAUAUUCAUCUCACAUCCUUUGACUUUGCUGAAAUAAUUAUUAGCUCUUGUAGAUAGGUUAGUGGAUUCUUUUGGAUUUUCACCAUAGUGCAUUAUGUCAUCUAUAAGUAAAGAUAUUUUUACCUUUUCAAUCUGGAUGCCUUUUACUUUUUUUUCCUUCCCUUGCUGCACUGACUAUAACCUCUAACACAAAAGUCCUGAAGAGCAAUGGCGAGAGCAGAGAUGCUUGCAUUGUUCAGUCUUUAAAUAUGAUGUUAUUUGUAGGUGUUUUUGGUUUGUUUAUUUGUUUUUGUAGAUGCUCUUUAUGAAUUUGAGAAUUAUCUAUUUAUAGUUUAUUGAGAGCUUUUAUCAUGGAUAAAAUCAUGAGAGCUUGUAUCAUGGAUUUAGUCAAAUGUUGUUUCUGUGACUUCCAUGUAGUUUUCCCUGUUUAUUAAUAUAUAUUAACUUGUUUUAAGAUGGUAAACCACCUUGCAUUCCUGAGAUAAAAGCUGCUUGAUCAUGGUGUAUAAUCUUACCCAUAUAGCUGUAUUUGGUUUGCUAAUAAUUUUGUUGAUAAUUUCUGUGUCUGUAUUCAUAAAGGAAAUUGAUCUCAAAUUUUCUUGUUGUAUCUUUGUAUGGCUUGGGUACCAGAGUAAUACUGGGAUUAUAGAAUGAGUUGGGAAAGUGUUUUUUUCUCUGAUUGAUGGAAAAAAAUUGUGGAAGAUUGAUUUUUUUCCUUCUAUAAAUAUUUCAUAGAAUUCACUAGUGAAGCCAUUUGUACCUGGACUUUUCUUAGUGGCAAAACUUAAUAAUGAAUUCAUUUAUUUUAUUUUUUAAAAUAUUUAUUUUUUAGUUGUAGUUGGGCACAAUACCUUUAUUUUAUUUAUGUAUUUUUAUGUGGUGGCUUAGGAUUGAACCCAGGGCCCCACAUGUAUUAGGCGAGCACUCCAUCACUGAGCCACAAUCCUAGCCCUCAUUUUUUUGUUUUUAAUUAUUAUGUUUUUUUAUCUGCUUGCUUUGGGUUGAGUUUGCCUGUCUUUUUCUAGUUUCUUAAAAUACAUUCUUAACUUAAUGAUUUGGUAUGUUUCUUUUUUUCUGAUAUUGGCAUUUAAAGCUAUAUAUUUUCCUCCUAGCACUGCUUAGAGGUCAACAGUGUUGGUCUGAGGUUUUGUUUAAAUACCUUGAGCUACCAAAUCUUUCUUUUGUGUACAAAACCUCACAGCAAGCCAGGGAUGAGUAGAUACUUGAGGAUGUAUCUGAUCUUUCCUGAGUGCACACACAACCUUGCACAUGUGUAUAGCCUUCUGAACUACCAGAGGUAUCUGGAAGUUUAUCCAAGCCCAUUAUGACUAUUUGUUUUUCAGAUCUCUUUGUGAAAUUUCCAAAUGUUUGUGCUUACUUCAAUUAAUAUUAUAGUCUCAAAUAGCUGCAAUAUUGGGCAGUUUGACAGUUUGCCAUUGAAUUCAUGAUUGAUUUUUACAUACUGUAACACCUCUUAAUAACAUCACAGGCUGGGAACUAAGCCUUUAACACAGAAACCUUUGGUUGACACUUAAACAACAGCAUUGUCUUUUGGGAACUCAAAUUAAUAAAUUAUCUACUUGAAGUUGUAUCACAGUUCCCUGAUGCUGGUAAUUUUUUUUUUUUGAGUUUUUUAAGUCUCUCGUUGUUUCAUUUAAAGUAGAAUAUCUUACUAUAUUUUUAGAGUUAUUAAUUGCAUCUCCUUUGCUGUCUAAUCUGCUGGUCAUCCUAUCCAGAGUAUUUUUCAUGUCUAGAUAAUUGAUAUUACCUAUUUUUAAUAUCUUCUAUAUAUUUAAAUAUUCUCAGUUUUCCUAUGUCUUCUUAAAUGUAGAAACUAUAGUGAUGAUAACUUAUAUAAUGCUCUUAUCUGUGAAUUAUAUGUGUGUCAUUUUUGGUUUAUAUCUAAUAAUUGAUUUUGUUCCUCAUUAUGAAUGACAAUUUUCUGCUGGUUUUGUCUUCUUGGUAAUUGUGUUUGGAUUCUAUAUAUAUUGUAAACCUUUAUCAUUUUGCUUGUUGGAAAUUUUGGUAUUUGUAGAAAUAAUAAGUUUUAAUCAGAGAUUUUCUUCCUUCUGGGAUUUUCAAGUUUAUUUGCUAACUUUUAAACUUUGAGGACUUAAAAGACUUAUCAAAGAACCCAUAAGCCUUCAUUCUAUGACUGAUUUUGUCCCACUGCUGAGGUGAUACCCUGCUGAAUACUUUGUUGAUUUUUCUUGCAUUAUGAGUUUUUCUAUUCUGUUGGAUGGGAGCAUAGAAUUUUACUAGUCCUGCAUGAACUCCUGGGAUUAUUCUAUCUUCUUGUGUUGAGUGGUUCUUUUCCCAGCAGUGGGUAAUUCUUUCACAUGCAUGUGCCGAUCAGUGCUUAGCUGAAGAUUUGAGAAGAAUCUACUAUGUAUUUGGAGUUCUCUCUUUGAAGCACUCUCUUUUAUGCUGUUCUAACCUGUGAACUCUAUUCUCUUCAGUCUUCCUGGAUCCCAAGCUUUGUUUCUAAAGAAAGGGAAUCAGCUAGCUUUAUGUCCCCCAUCCGUGUCCUAUGACUUGGAUCCUCUCUACAGGAUAAUUAUCUUGCUCCACCUUGUCUUAUGUUUAAAAACUGUUGUCAUAUAUAUACACACAUAUACAUAUAUACACAAACACAUACACUUUAUUAUUUUUUGGUGGUCUAGGGGAUUAAACCCAGGGUCUCAAGAAUGCUAGGUAAAUGUACCAUUGAGGCAUACCCCCAGCCUUGUCCCAUAUGUUUUGUCCAGUUUUUAAAUUAUGUCAGUUGGGAGGGUAAAUCUCAUCUCUAUUUCAUUUUUGGAAGAUGGAAAUCCUGGAAUUCAUUCUUUCCCCAGGAGUCAAAUUGAUAUUUUCUUUUUCUAGUAUACUACAACCAAGUAGGAUAUAUUCAAGUAUACUGGGUUGGUUCAACAUUCAAAAAUCAACUGAUGUAUCCCCAGACUAGUGUAUCCAUGACAGAAGUCAGUUUUACUUUUGAACUUGGAAAUUUGAUUGAUUUCUUACUGCUCUUUAUAAAAAUCAUACUCUGCAUAUUCUGAGCCCUGUUGUACCUUUUUGUUUGGUCAAAAAUUCAUUUUAAUGCUUCUAUUCCAGCUUUAUUCUUCUUCUCUUUCGCAAACAUGCUACAAAUCUUGCGUUUGAAAUGCUUAUGCCAUUUCUCUGCUAUGCCUUUCUUUAAUGUCUAACUAUUUUAUAUCUUCAGCUUAUUUAUUACUUCCAUAGUAGGGAUUUUCCUGAUGAAACUAUCUGAACCUUGACCUCCAAUACAAGCUGUUCUGUUAUCUGAUCUCAAAGCAUCCAUAAUUAUCCUUUCUAUUUCUUCUUUAGUUCUUAUUCAUCAUUCUUAUUAUUAAUUAUUUAUUGUGUGUCUUCACUAGAGUUUAAGCUCUUACUUUCCUACAACACAGUAGGCAUACAAUAAAUUCUUGCUGAACACAUGUAAAAGGUUUAAUUAGAUAAUUUGUAUGUUUUUGUCUAUAAUUUUAUUCUUAUAGGAAAAAUAUUAAAGAAAUUGUACUGAUUUGCCUUAAUAAGACUUUUAGUUCUUGAGCAUCAUUUUUGUCAUCUCUAAAAUUAAUAUCAACAUUGUCUCCAAAUGCCACCUAUUUGAUUUUUCUAAAGCAAAAGAAUCUCUUCUAUUUACUAUUGUAGAAUUUCAAUUUGGCUAUAGGAUAACACUGAUCACUUGGUUAUUUUUCCUUCCUCUUCUGUACUGUAAAUUUCUUGUUGGUAAUAACUAUAUGUUAUAUAUUUCUCUUUUUUUAAAGAGAGAGAGAAUUUUUUAAUAUUUAUUUUUUAGUCUUCGGUGGACACAACAUCUUUAUUUUAUUUUUAUGUGGUGCUGAGGAUCAAACCCAGCAACCUGCACAUGCCAGGCGAGCGCGCUACGGCUUGAGCCACAUCCCCAGGCCUGUUAUAUGUUUUUCUAUUGUCCAGAUAUUUUAGUCAAUAUUUCUUCUAAGCAUGCUUAAAAUACCUUUAAAAAUGAUAAUGUACUUUUAUAGUGUGCUUUAUAACUUAGGAGGUCUUUUUCCUUUGUUCUCUCAUUUAGAGUAGUAGAUAUUCCUCUGGUACAAAUGGUGAAUAUUAUUACUAUGUAUUGUGUCCUUUAGUAUAUAAUAUUAUUCUGACUAAAACAUCAAUAAGAUGAUCCAUAUUGAUAAAUAGUAUAGAACCAUAGCUAUGGGCAUUUAUUGGCAAAACUUUAAUUUCCUUCUCUUAAUAACAGAAUUAUUUUAUUUCUCUCUACCCUGACAUAAGGCUUGGUGCCUGGAGCACAGCUGCUCUCCAUUAAAUAUUUACCUUAAAAAUAAAAUUGGAAAUCUGAGUUUUAUCAGUCUAUAUGUUUCUUUUAAAAAUUUCUUUGGUAUGUCUAACUUCUGGAACAGCCCAAUUCAAAAUAAAUUUGUAGUCACUGGCAAUCAAAUUUAAAAACUUCUCUUUUCCUAGUUGUUUCCUAUCUUAGCUUUGAUUCUUUUAUACAAGUUGAACUUAACCUAGAAUUAAUAUAUCUAUAUUAGAAAGGAGCUUAUAGUUUAUCUAAUAUUCUUAAUUGAUUUUCAUCUAAUUCACCUUGUCUCUUUGCUUUAUUACUUAUAUGCACAUUCAUACCUAUACCUUCAUUAGAAAAUUUAUAGUUGUUUUUGUAUACUUGUUAGGUUGAGAAAUAUCUGGUAUAAUGUCCUCAUAACUUUGUGAUUUUAUGGUUUUACAUGGGAUGACUUUUCUACACAUGUCUUCUAAUUAUCUUUCUCUGGUUAAAUGGAGAGCAGCAGUGACAUACUCUGGUUGCCUAUGUUAUUUGCUAGAAUUUAUUAUAGAAGAACCACUACAUAUAGGUCAUUCAUAGUUUCUUUUGCUAAUAUAAAAAUAAAUUGAGCUAUGCACUCACUUUUCAUGUUGAAAUACAAAACUGAGCAUAGAUUAAUUUUAUACACAAUAAAAGAUCAUUAGAGUCAUUGGGAGAGCACAUUUGAUGAAUUCCAUCUGAAAGAGUAUUAUUUACUUAAAUAUAAAAAAAUAGAAACAUAAUCUAAGUAAAUGUUAGUAGCUACUCAAUAAAAAAAUAUUUUAAAAAAUGUUCUCUAAAGUUUAAGGAUAGUAUUUAUAAAUGAAAAUGAUCUGUGCUUUUCUUAAUAAAUAUGUUUUAAUUUAUCUCAAAGUCUAGGAAAUGGGAAUUUCCUUUCUAAAAGAUCAGCAAUAAUUAUGAGUGAGGAUUUUGGGAACAUGGAUAAAAGAAGACAGUCAGAUUUCAUUAUUGAAAAACAGUCAAUACAACAAAUCUGGGGAGAAAAUGGAAAAGAAGUUUCAAGUUUUCUGGAGAAUGUGAAUGAGCCAACACAUAGACUUCUGUCAGAGAAUUGUGACUCUUUUGUUCCUCAAAAUAUGAUAAAUUUAUUAGACCUUGAUCAACAAAGGGUAAAGAAAACCUUUGACAAAUGUGGCUAUGAUAGUUUAGGGGAUAUUUGUUUGGUUACAAGUUCGGAUGAAAACCAUUCCAUUGAUGGAAACAGAAGCAUUUUUACAGCUCCAGAGUCAACUUUUAGUAGUUCUACUUUAAAUAAAACAAGUUAUCCAGAAAAACAUCAACCAAACAGGAACUAUCAGGAAAAGCACAACAAUAAUGAAAU